rnacentral:tRNA from 1 species
CAGGGAGACAAAACUGAUUAUGAUGCCUGAUUAAUAUUUUAGGCCGUAAUCCUGUCACCUUAGGUCGAUCGGUACCUCAGAUUGAGACUUGCUCUCUAAGUAGUAAAUACUUAUAGAAAUAGAAUCAUUUUCAGUUCCUAAACUUGUCUAGGUCACACCCAACAAGGGUACUCCUGGGCCAUUAGCUCAGGUGGUUAGAGCGCACCCCUGAUAAGGGUGAGGUCCCUGGUUCAAGUCCAGGAUGGCCCAUUCGGUGUUGGGGGUAUAGCUCAGUUGGUAGAGCGCCUGCUUUGCAAGCAGGAUGUCAGCGGUUCGAGUCCGCUUACCUCCACUGAUCGACCUCCUGACUCACGAAAGCCAGGAGAAAACUGUUGCGUGUGAUUUAGAUAUGUUCUCUUUGAAUAGAACCUAACUUCUUGUCAUUCUAAAUUUAAUUUUAUUUUUAGCUGAUAUGAAGCUGGGCUCACUGCAAUCGCAAAUUGCAGGAGUUCAGUAGAACCUUGACGACUGCAUAGAUUAAGUCUGGAAAGAAUAAAGCAUCUCAUGGAUGCAUUGAUUUUCCUUAUAUACAUUUGCUUAGGCAAUGUAUUUAGGGAUUAUUAAUGAUCAAUUCUUGAGUAAGAGCCGAGAAUCUAUAUUGAUUUUUUCCUUUUAUUUAGGGAUUAAUUAAUAUAGAGAUUAUAU